rnacentral:rRNA from 1 species
AACGCUGGACGGCGUUGCCAUUACACAUGACAAGUCGAGCGAGGCGGGAUAGCAAUACCCAGUUCGAGCGGCGAACGGGUGAGUAACACGUGGAUAACCUACCCUGAGGUGGGGGAUAACCCGGGGAAACUCGGGCUAAUACCGCAUGAUACCGAGAGGUCAAAGGGGGCUCGCAAGAGCUCUCGCCAUAGGAGGGGUCCGCGUCCGAUUAGCUAGUUGGUAGGGUAAUGGCCUACCAAGGCGACGAUCGGUAGCCGGCCUGAGAGGGUGAUCGGCCACACUGGAACUGAGACACGGUCCAGACUCCUACGGGAGGCAGUAGUGGGGAAUUUUGCGCAAUGGGCUAACGCCUGACGCAGCAACGCCGCGUGGAGGAUGAAGGUCUUUGGAUUGUAAACUCCUGUCAGCAGGGAAAAAGCGAAUCGGCCUAACACGCCGGUGAGUUGAUUGUACCUGCUGAGGAAGCCCCGGCUAACUCUGUGCCAGCAGCCGCGGUAAUACAGAGGGGGCAAGCGUUAUUCGGAAUUAUUGGGCGUAAAGGGCGCGUA